UAUAACCUAAAUCCCUAAUAAAGUAAUAAAACUGAAACCCUAAUACAUAACAUAUUUCAAACGGCGCCCCCCUCUUUCCUCACUGCUACUGGCGAUCGGUUUUCAGCCAAGAUUACCGGCGAUUACCGGCGAUUUUCUGUCACGAUUUUCAGCCACCAUCACAAGGAUCUUAUUGAAAUGGAAAAGUCUAGUUCGAAUCCUAGUAAUUCUACAUCAGCUUCAUCUAAUGCUAAGAAAGGGAAAAAAGGGAAUAUUCUAAAAGGGCACCAGUGUGGAAUCACUUCACUGAGUUUUACGAUUCUAGUGGAAAAAGAAUGGCAAAAUGCAAUUACUGUGCCAGGGUUUUUAAUGUUUCAUCAAAUAAAUGUGGUACAUCUCCUUUGAAUAAUCAUUUGCCUGCUUGUCCAUCAAAUCCUAAUAAGGAAAGUUCUAAUCAAACUAAUUUGGUCUUUGGUAA